GCAACCAGCGGAGGGAUCAUUACUGAGUUUACGCUCUACAACCCUUUGUGAACAUACCUAUAACUGUUGCUUCGGCGGGUAGGGUCUCCGUGACCCUCCCGGCCUCCCGCCCCCGGGCGGGUCGGCGCCCGCCGGAGGAUAACCAAACUCUGAUUUAACGACGUUUCUUCUGAGUGGUACAAGCAAAUAAUCAAAACUUUUAACAACGGAUCUCUUGGUUCUGGCAUCGAUGAAGAACGCAGCGAAAUGCGAUAAGUAAUGUGAAUUGCAGAAUUCAGUGAAUCAUCGAAUCUUUGAACGCACAUUGCGCCCGCCAGCAUUCUGGCGGGCAUGCCUGUUCGAGCGUCAUUUCAACCCUCAAGCUCUGCUUGGUGUUGGGGCCCUACAGCUGAUGUAGGCCCUCAAAGGUAGUGGCGGACCCUCCCGGAGCCUCCUUUGCGUAGUAACUUUACGUCUCGCACUGGGAUCCGGAGGGACUCUUGCCGUAAAACCCCCAAUUUUCCAAAGGUUGACCUCGGAUCAGGUAGGAAUACCCGCUGAACUUAAGCAUAUCAAUA
rnacentral:rRNA from 1 species